CAAAACAAAUAAAGCAAUCAACGAUCAAGAUAAGAAACAUGAGCCGAGUUCUAUACUGAAGCAGCAAAUAUGAGAUGGCAGAACUACUAUGAAACUGUGUUGCCUGUACAUAUUUCAAAAAUCGCCACAAUACAUUAAUGACUCAACAUCAUCACCAUUUUACAUAUCAUGAACAUGUUCAAAAAGUUUCAAAUCUUAUUGGGAAAGUUAACUCGGGGAAUCAAAGUGCAUACACGCCAGCAUAUUCUAUGUUAAAUUAGACAGGAAAAAUUAUAUGGAGAUGUGCAAGAAUGUCGAACCUCAGUUACAGACUCAGGGUGCCACCCAUCUACACAUUCCAGUACCCACGUCGUCAUCUCAUCUUAGACCUUAUUUGGAACCGAGAGGAACACCAAAAUCUAACUUUUCAACAAACUUGAGACAAAUGAUUCAUCUAAAAUGAAGAGAAUAAUAUUGACUUGGAGGGGCGAAUUGCACAUGAAAGUUCUGCACGAAAUAAGAAAUUGAACAUAUUACCUACCUAAAAGGAUGUUUAAAUACUUUAGAACUUAGAGCUUAAUUAUUUAGACCACCCUAUAUCACAACUUAGAGCUCAUUAUAGAUUGUCAUGCCAAAAUAUUCAUACUAUUCUUCACCAUGAAACCUGCCACCACCAAAAAUAAAAAGGAAAAAAACUCAAAAGUCAAAGCUCUUAAAUCUUCUCAACUCAGAGAUUCACUAAAAUAUCAGCGAUGGAAUUUCAGAUUAACUUUUUUCUUUAAUGAUAAUGCAGUCUUCAUUAUUUAAUUUAUUUUCCAAUCUAGACCUGCGACAAGAAGUUACCCCUGUUGCUCAGAAAACAGGAAGCUCAACUGCAAAAGACAUGCAAGACUCUUUUAAGUGACAUCAGAAGUUAUUAAGCUGGUAAACACUUUGGAAAAAAUAAAAAAAAUCUCAUUUGUAGAUGUUGAG
rnacentral:lncRNA from 1 species